ensembl:lncRNA
AAUGUGUGUUACUGCAGUUCAUGUGUUGGAGCUCUCACUCUGAGCUCGAUGCUCCAUCCUCUCGCCUGUAAGUCACUCGAGGUCUCUUUUACACUGACUCGACUGAUCUAACAAUCGAGUCUGAACGCGAGUGAGACUAAUCAGUGUGUCGCAUUACGUGUUGCAGGUGUUUCUAGCUCGAGUCUGCUAAAUGGUCCCAUUUGUGUCCAGAGAAAUGCUACUAGAGACUAACGGAGCUGUGCUUAGAGAUGACGUUUGGGGUCGUGUUUCCAAUAUUUUUUAAAGGGAUCUCGAUGACCCUGAGCAUUAAAGGGAACGCCUUCAUUUGGUUGUUGGCUGGUAACGUUUUGCUGCCCGUUUGUUUUUUGUUUUUUCCCACAGCAGAGGGAAACUCAUGGAUACAGGGGCCUGUGGGUUUGCCACUUUGAACUCUUUUUUUCUCACCAGAUACUGGAUGCCGUUGUCGUCGAAGUGUCUGCAGCUCUGAGGGAAGCGACUGAGCAGGACCUUGAUGAGACUCUGGUACCAGGCUGGACCCAUGUUGGUUUGCACUGACCACCAGAGGGAGCUGGAGAAGACGCUAAACAUGAACACAAAUUCACCUGAGUAGACUUCCAGUACUCGUGCUAGCAGAGGUUAGCGAAUAAACUCUGUGCUAAAUCAACCACAGGGGUGGGGGGGGGUAAGAGGUGAGCUAAAGUUGUUUAUUUCAGAACAAAAAAAAAAAAUUCAUGAACCAUCACUGUGGAUGAUUCAGAUUUACCUGUUUAGCUACAGAAGUUUAACCCAAACUUUGUUUGGAGUUUGGAAUUUAAUCCAGACCACUUCCUCCCAAAGGUCUCGGUGCACUUAUUUUUUUCUGCACGUCUGCAUAGUUUAAGCCAAGACAGCAGAGUUUGUUUUUUAAAAUGACCACAACUUCCAUAAACGUGCUGCGAAUAACUUCAGUGAAGUCACAGCACACGGACACAUUUUCAGAUGCAAGUCUUUGUUAAAUGAAGCUGGUGGAAAGACUUCAUCUCAUGUAUCAGGGACCAUUAGGUAAAAGGGGGAAAGUUGAAAGCCGGAGGCAAAGAAUACAAAUUAAAGUUAUAACCUUGCACUUUUUAAGGUUGGAUAAACCUAAUCGCACCAUAAAAAUGGGGAAUGCCAUUCGCACUUUAGUGAGGACGUGCAGCUAUAUGGUGGAUAUAACUGGAUCCUUAGUUUGUAUUUCCCAUCAGAACCAGUGUGUGUUUGUGUGGGCACUGACCCACAGUUCAAAUGCUUCUAAUCACAUGAUGAUUUUUGGGCCUAUUUUUCAUUUGUCAGUUUGUUUUUUUCUGGUCUUUGUUUCUGGUGAAUUCGAGUUUUGUUCCCUUUAGUAAAUGCUCUGUAC